UAGUAACGGCGAGUGAAGCGGCAACAGCUCAAAUUUGAAAUCUGGCUUUCGGGCCCGAGUUGUAAUUUGUAGAGGAUGAUUUUGAUGCGGUGCCUUCCGAGUUCCCUGGAACGGGACGCCAUAGAGGGUGAGAGCCCCGUCUGGUUGGAUGCCAAAUCUCUGUAAAUCUCCUUCGACGAGUCGAGUAGUUUGGGAAUGCUGCUCUAAAUGGGAGGUAUAUGUCUUCUAAAGCUAAAUACCGGCCAGAGACCGAUAGCGCACAAGUAGAGUGAUCGAAAGAUGAAAAGCACUUUGAAAAGAGAGUUAAAAAGUACGUGAAAUUGUUGAAAGGGAAGCGUUUAUGACCAGACUUGGGCUUGGUUAAUCAUCUGGGGUUCUCUCCAGUGCACUUUUCCAGUCCAGGCCAGCAUCAGUUUUCGCCGGGGGAUAAAGGCUUCGGGAAUGUGGCUCCCCUCGGGGAGUGUUAUAGCCCGUUGUGUAAUACCCUGGUGGGGACUGAGGUUCGCGCUUCUGCAAGGAUGCUGGCGUAAUGGUCAUCAACGACCCGUCUUGAAACACGGACCAAGGAGUCGUCUUCGUAUGCGAGUGUUCGGGUGUCAAACCCCUACGCGUAAUGAAAGUGAACGCAGGUGAGAGCUUCGGCGCAUCAUCGACCGAUCCUGAUGUUCUCGGAUGGAUUUGAGUAAGAGCAUACGGGGCCGGACCCGAAAGAAGGUGAACUAUGCCUGUGUAGGGUGAAGCCAGAGGAAACUCUGGUGGAGGCUCGCAGCGGUUCUGACGUGCAAAUCGAUCGUCAAACAUGGGCA
rnacentral:rRNA from 1 species